AAACUACACCUCUUACCUGAAUCUUUACCGAUCAAGGUCAGCGUCUGAUUGCCCCUCCCACCCACUCCUCAUACUGACACAACAUAUCACAUUUCAUAUCUUCUUACUCCUUGGUGGGCCCUCUUUAUUUACAGGCCUACCGUAUCGUCGGUAUCGGCACACCUCAACCGACUUGCUCUCUUUUAUUCCAGUUCAUAUUUGAAGCUCACUCCUUAUACAAAUA